rnacentral:rRNA from 1 species
UGGGGAAUUUUGGACAAUGGGCGCAAGCCUGAUCCAGCCAUGCCGCGUGCGGGAAGAAGGCCUUCGGGUUGUAAACCGCUUUUGUCAGGGAAGAAAUCUUCUGAGUUAAUACCUCGGGAGGAUGACGGUACCUGAAGAAUAAGCACCGGCUAACUACGUGCCAGCAGCCGCGGUAAUACGUAGGGUGCAAGCGUUAAUCGGAAUUACUGGGCGUAAAGCGUGCGCAGGCGGUUUUGUAAGACAGAGGUGAAAUCCCCGGGCUCAACCUGGGAACUGCCUUUGUGACUGCAAGGCUUGAGGUGCGGCAGAGGGGGAUGGAAUUCCGCGUGUAGCAGUGAAAUGCGUAGAUAUGCGGAGGAACACCGAUGGCGAAGGCAAU